GACGAACGCUGGCGGCGUGCUUAACACAUGCAAGUCGAACGGUUAAGCGCCUUCCUUUUUGGUGUGUGUGGAUGAGUGGCGAACUGGUGAGUAACACGUUAGUAACCUGCCCCCUUCUUCUGGAUAACCGCGUGAAAGUUUGGCUAAUACUGGAGAUUCUGGGUCUGUCGCAUGAUGGGUCUGGGAGAGAUAUUGUUUCGGUGGGGGAUGUGCGCGCGUCCUAGCAGGUUGUUGGUGGGGUGAUGGCCUACCAAGGCGGUGACGGGUAGCCGGCCUGAGAGGGUGGACGGUAACACUGGGACUGAGCCACGGCGCAGACUACUACGGGCGGCAGCAGUGGGGAAUAGUGCACAAUGGGAGCAAGGCUGAUGCAGCGACGCCGCGGGAGGGAUGGAGGCCUUCGGGUUGUGAACCUCUUUCGCGAGUGAAGCAGGCCUGCCUAGUUUGUGGGUGGGUUGACGGUAGCUGGAUAAGAAGCGCCGGCUAACUACGUG
rnacentral:rRNA from 1 species